UCUGUGCCAGCAGCCGCGGUAAUACAGAGGGUGCGAGCGUUAAUCGGAUUUACUGGGCGUAAAGCGUGCGUAGGCGGCUUAUUAAGUCGGAUGUGAAAUCCCCGAGCUUAACUUGGGAAUUGCAUUCGAUACUGGUGAGCUAGAGUAUGGGAGAGGAUGGUAGAAUUCCAGGUGUAGCGGUGAAAUGCGUAGAGAUCUGGAGGAAUACCGAUGGCGAAGGCAGCCAUCUGGCCUAAUACUGACGCUGAGGUACGAAAGCAUGGGGAGCAAACAGGAUUAGAU
rnacentral:rRNA from 1 species